rnacentral:rRNA from 1 species
AAAAACUCCGGUGGUAUGAGAUGGACCCGCGUCUGAUUAGCUGGUUGGUGAGGUAACGGCCCACCAAGGCGACGAUCAGUAGCCGACCUGAGAGGGUGGCCGGCCACAUUGGGACUGAGACACGGCCCAAACUCCUACGGGAGGCAGCAGUGGGGAAUAUUGCACAAUGGGGGAAACCCUGAUGCAGCAACGCCGCGUGAGUGAAGAAGUAUUUCGGUAUGUAAAGCUCUAUCAGCAGGGAAGAAGAAAGACGGUACCUGACUAAGAAGCCCCGGCUAACUACGUGCCAGCAGCCGCGGUAAUACGUAGGGGGCAAGCGUUAUCCGGAUUUACUGGGUGUAAAGGGAGCGUAGACGGCAUAGCAAGUCUGAAGUGAAAGCCCGUGGCUCAACCGCGGAACUGCUUUGGAAACUGUUAAGCUGGAGUACUGGAGAGGCAAGCGGAAUUCCUAGUGUAGCGGUGAAAUGCGUAGAUAUUAGGAGGAACACCAGUGGCGAAGGCGGCUUGCUGGACAGAGACUGACGUUGAGGCUCGAAAGCGUGGGGAGCAAACAGGAUUAGAUACCCUGGUAGUCCACGCGGUAAACGAUGAAUGCUAGGUGUUGGCGGGCAAAGCCCGUCG